UUACACUUCACAUAUUAUGCAUGAUCCAAGUUGCAUCUUGCAUGGAAUGGAUGUGGCAAUGAUCCAUACACUAUAUAAUUGUAUACACAAGUGAUGCAACAAAACUCUAUCCUUCGUCUUUUCUCAUUCAGAAAUGGGUCUGACUUCAACAAAUUAAACCCAAACUCCCAAAAAAAACACCAAAAUUUAUGGUGGGAAUUCAUUUUUUUAUACUGGAGUUGCAGCAAAGGAACUGGUGCAGAUGUUAUAAGUUCCUCAUGUGGAAAAGGUCAAUCUUAGAUAUUCGUAAGAGGCAAAAUUGGAGUUGCUAUAUGUACUCUUCAGAUUGAAGCUUUUGCCUUCUGUGCAUGUGAACUUCUCAAUUUCAGACGACAUUUAUUUACAACUUGUUGGUUUCUACAGAAAAGUUGAAAGGGAUAUAAAGUUUAAUUGAAGUGUUGCCUUAAAUAGAUAGAGAGAAAGGUGAAACAUGAUUUGUGUAGCAGGCUCCUAAAUUGAUGGGACAAAUGCUUGCAGUUGAGCAUCGAGGUUGUAAAAUUUUACUGGGAUUGGUUAUAAUUUUGCGUCUUAGAAUUUACUACUACUUCAAUC